GGCACGGGCGGUGAAGAACCGGCGCUUGUUUAGAAAUAACGAGGCUCGGCUGUGACCGCUCAGCGCCCCUGCUGAUGGGGAGGGUGGGGGAGAGAACUGGAACCGCCUUUUCCCUGGGAAGAGAUGCUACCAAAAAAUAAAAAUAAAAAAAGGAUCCUUCAAGCGGUCUCCGUCGGCGCACCCCACACUUUGUUUUUUUGUUUGUUUGUUUGUUUGUUUUGUUUUUUAGUGAAAGAUGAAGCCAAAUCAGAUGUCAGGUGAUAAACCGAAGGAUAAAAGCACCUAACACAAAUGGCGAAUAGAGGGAAAUGAACGGUAGAAAGAACGUUGGCAUUAUCGAAUCGAGUGUUGGAAGCUGAAUUUCUGUCAGCAUUGAAGAGCCACGAAAAGCCAAGAAAGCUCCCUAGGAAAACGAGUAACUUGCCACAGUCUCAGAAUUGUUGGAACUAAACUUCAUUCGAUUCUACACCGAGUCCUUUCCGUACUACACCACUGCUUCUCACAUCACAGGAAGAGAAAAGCCUGAAAAACCAUACUUACCGUGAAGUCAAUGAAUUUGAAGCAUAUGUAAUUUUAGCAUAUGUAUCAAGGUUUGACCAAUUCCCCAAAAAUUAUGGCUAAUAAUGUCUUCCCUAAUUACCACACUGAGGCAAAGGGAGAAGAGGGAGAGAAUGAAGAAAAUAAAAAAAGAAUGAAUUUAA